rnacentral:tRNA from 1 species
GAGGGUAUAGCUCAAGUGGUAGAGCCGGUGCCUAGCACGCACAAGGUCCUGGGUUCAUUCCCCACUACCUCCU